rnacentral:rRNA from 1 species
AACGAACGCUGGCGGCGUGCUUAACACAUGCAAGUCGAACGUGAAAAGGGCUUCGGCCCCGAGUAAAGUGGCAGACGGGUGAGUAACACAUGGGUAAUUUGUCCUUGGGUGUGGAAUAACUUCCCGAAAGGGAGGCUAAUACCGCAUAAGACCACGUCCCUUAGGGGAUGCGGUAAAAGAUUUCGGUUGCCUGAGGAGGAGCCCGCGGCCGAUUAGCUAGUUGGUGAGGUAACGGCUCACCAAGGCAUCGAUCGGUAGCUGGUCUGAGAGGAGUAUCGGCCACACUGGGACUUAGACACGGACCAGACUCCUACGGGGGGCAGCAGUGGGGAAUAUGGCGCAAUGGGCGAAGGCCUGACGCAGCAACGCCGCGUGGGUGAUGAAGGCCUUCGGGUCGUAAAGCCCUGUCAGAUGGGAAGAAACCUGCUUUGCAGCUGACGGUACCAUCAAAGGAAGCACCGGCUAACUCCGUGCCAGCCGCCGCGGUAAGAC